rnacentral:rRNA from 1 species
AGGAUGAACGCUGGCGGCGUGCUUAACACAUGCAAGUCGAACGAUGAAGGCUGGAGCUUGCUCUGGCUGGAUUAGUGGCGAACGGGUGAGUAACACGUGAGUAACUUGCCCCAGACUCUGGGAUAAGCGCUGGAAACGGCGUCUAAUACCGGAUACGAGCUUCCACCGCAUGGUGAGGAGCUAGGAAAGAAUUUCGGUCUGGGAUGGACUCGCGGCCUAUCAGCUUGUUGGUGAGGUAAUGGCUCACCAAGGCGACGGACGGGUAGCCGGCCUGGAGAGGGUCGACCGGGCCACACGUGGGACUGGAGACCGACCGGCCCAGACCUCCGUACGGGAGGCAGCAGGUAGGGAAUAGUUGACAACGAAUGGGACGACGAAGCC